rnacentral:rRNA from 1 species
GGGGAAUAUUGGACAAUGGGCGCAAGCCUGAUCCAGCAAUGCCGCGUGUGUGAAGAAGGCCUUCGGGUUGUAAAGCACUUUUAUCAGGAGCGAAAUCUGCAUGCUUAAUACGUGUGCAGUCUGACGGUACCUGAGGAAUAAGCACCGGCUAACUUCGUGCCAGCAGCCGCGGUAAUACGUAGGUGGCGAACGUUGUCCGGAUUCACUGGGCGUAAAGCGCGCGCAGGCGGAUCAGUAAGUCUGAUGUGAAAGCUCCCGGCUCAACUGGGAGAAGCCAUCGGAUACUGCUGAUCUUGAGACACUUAGAGGAGAGUGGAAUUCCCGGUGUAGUGGUGGAAUGCGUAGAUAUCGGGAGGAACACCAGUGGCGAAAGCGGCUCUCUGGGAGUGUUCUGACGCUGAGGCGCGAAAGCGUGGGGAGCAAA